GGACAACACAAGGUGACAGGGCAGAUCAAUGGAUUGAAGCACAGAUAAGUGUUGCUGAAGCUGUCCCAUACCAGGUUGUAUUUGAAGGUCGAGUUGGUAGUGCUUAUACUGGUGAUAUAUCUUUAGAUGACAUUUCAAUGAUUCACGGGUACUGUCCAGGAACACCAGGUUGUGAUUUUGAGGAUCCAUUCCUAUGUGGUUAUUCACAAGAUAGUAUUGAUGAUGACAUAGAUUGGAUGUACUGGCAAGGAUCAACACCUACACCUAAUACUGGACCAUCAUUUGAUGUAACUUAUGGGACACA